GUGCUCGCUUCAGUAGCACAUAUACUAAAAUUGGAACGAUACAGAGCAGACAAGCAUAGCCCCCUUGCAAGGAUGACAUGCAAAUCUGUGAGGCAUUCCACAUCUUU
ensembl:snRNA U6 U6 spliceosomal RNA